UUUUGAAGAGAAGGCCUUGCAGCUGCGGCCGUGAACACUCGUGUCAAAGUCACCUUAGUGACUCGAUUGACCUUGUCUCCAGAACGUCAGUCCUGAAGAGACUCACUUCGCUCUGUGAAUCCCACUUGGAGAUGCUCUUGGGGAAUAAUCCAGAAGAGAGGAGCGGCUCUGCACACUAAGGAGGAGUGUUGGCGUUCCUCACUUCUCCGCGGGUGGAGAGAUACACCAGCUGUGCCCGCUGUGGGAAGCUCUCUAUACACCUUCGUGCGACAGAACAGUGCAGCUGACAUCACCAGGACUGGAAGGACUAUGACACAAUAAGGCAGACGCAAAACUGCUCCUCUUGUAACAGUGUGGGGAUAUGCACCUUAGUGAGGCCGCGGUUUUACUCAGGCUGCAGAGCAUCCUCCUACCUCGAGAUGAAGGGCACAGGGAGACGGAGCACCAGGACUGCCGCCAGUGGGAACGCGCUGCACCCGCAGAGCACAGCCAGCUGUGGCCACCGUGGGAAGCAGAGUGGACAGACCGGAGUGGAGAGUGCCCCGUGGAUUGCCCUCCCCUAGCCUGUCCUUGAGUGGGGACCCAGCGUGACCGCACGGACAAGACAGGAUCCAAGCGCAGCAGGAAGCAGGGGCCGAGUGCCUGAGCGACUGCGUGGAACGAGCUGCUCAGGGCAUGGGCACUGGCCUUGCACCAAGGAGGAAGAAAUAUAGGUGCACGAACGGAGGGUGUUUGUAAGAGAAAAAACCCUCAGCAGGAAGGUGGUCAAGUCAAUUCUGGUACAUCCAGAUGACGGGAAACUGUGCAGUUUUGUUUGAACGAAGCAGCUCUAUAUGUGGUGAUUUAGAAAAAUGAAAAUGCACGCCAGGGAAGAACACAGAGUGGGGUCGUGUGCAGCGUGUGCUGGGAUGUCUCCAUUUAAACACUCACUUGAGCUAGGGCAUGGGGUGAGCGAAGGCUCUGCUGGUCUUCAUCCACCUCCUGUACUGUUUA